ACAAGACUUUCAACUUAUCAACCUGCUCACCGAGAAAAACAAAAUCAACACAACUAUAAAGGAAAUCAACAUUUCCCAGUUAAUAUGAGCAAUAAUAGAAAAGGAUGAAUUUGCACUCAACUCCAAAUCAUAGAUAAAAAUAAAAAAUUUAAAAACAAAAACUCAAACAUUAAGCAAUGAAUCAUCAGCCACCACUUAAUUACGGAGUCAGAGAGACAGAGAGAGAGGAGAGAUAACAGGUGCUAAAUUUGACCUGGAAGUUCUGGAAAGCAAGCUAUAGUCUGGAGCUAUGAUUAGCAAGUAUACUACCAAAUAUGAUAUGUAACAUGGAGAUGAGGUCAAUUCAACACGGAGCAAACAGUGCAAUGGCAGCAAAUAAAUAAACCAAAAUAUGGACAAGAAAAGCCUGUUUAAAGAAUCUGUUCAAUCUGAUGCAACACCAUAGAGAUACUGAAACGGCAAAUGCAUAUGAAGCUCACUGGAGACAGUUCUACAAUGAUUUUGUCAAAGACUUCUCCAUAUCAAUAGAGCAUGUCAAACACUUUGUCACACAACCACCACAGCCAUCAAUGUCACUAAAACCUUCACAAGAAUAGACCAUUAGAAACUGCACAGCAAAAAUAUGGUACCUCUCUUUUUACAGGUACUUACUAGGAAUAACAAAAUAGUUUUUCCUUUUCUGU
rnacentral:misc_RNA from 1 species